CCAGCGCCGCGGCGGCCAGUGCGGUCAGCAUCUCCGGGGUGUUGCCGAGCAGCACACCGACGUGCAGCGGACGGUUCGGAUCCGCCGCGCCGAUC
rnacentral:tRNA from 1 species